AUAGGUUCAGGAAGUCUCUUACUAAUUGUCACAGAUAGCGGAUGAGAUCUGACUACAUCAUUUUGCUGGCUGCACUCACAGGAGGCCCCGGGGGUCCUUCAUCCACAGGCCCCUCCAGGCUGCCCAGAAUCCCUGCCCGCCCCCUCCCACCCCACACUCCCAUCGGUGAUGGCGCUCUAUCUCCCCUGUAAAUCCUCAGGAAUUUUCGGGAGAUGACGUCAACUUCGUGUGCUUACUCGUUCAUCCAGCGGGUAAACCGUACUAGGUAAGAGCAGGUAACACGCAGAUCACAAGAAUUACAGCGCACACGGAGGUCUGAUAACACGAGGUAAGAUCACAAAGCUGUCGGGACACUGAGGGGGAGAACAUGAUGAUAAUGACAGUGGGUGGCAUUUAGGAACACAGUGUGAAAACACUUAUCGGCAUAAAUCUUACUACAAGAGGGACUCACUCAUUCUCUGUUCCUUUAACAGUGUUGGGUGCACACGACUCAUCAGGACAUAAAUUAAGGAUAUAAACAGGACACGUGUGUGCACACACGCACACACACGCACCCAGAGAAGCACAAAGAUAACCACACCACGUAGCAGGUGCCACGAGAAGUAAAUAGGAGGUGCCCUUAAGGGACAAGGUGCUACACCCUUUCCACUAGAAAUCAACCAAUGCUUAGAGCAGUACAAGUAACAUUAAAGGGGGUCUUUCCUAAAAUUUUGCCACGGUAGGGGCGCCUGGUGGCUCAGUCGGUUAAGUGUGUGACUCAAUUUCAGCUCAGGUCAUGAUCUUGAGGUUCGUGGGUUCAAGCCCCUCAUUGGGCUCUGUGCUGACAGCAUGGAGCCUGCUUGGGAUUCUCUUUCUCCCUCUGUCUCUGCCCCUCCCCUGUUAGCUGUCUCUGUCUCUCUGUCUCUCUCUCUCUCUCACAAACAUAAAUAAAACAUUAAAAAAUUAAAACUAAAUCAUGAGAUUCUACCUCAGUAACACAAGAUUUGAUCUUUCAAAACUGCACAGACCUAAAAGCAGAGUCUGAUCAGCCAUGAACUGUCCCCAGGCAUGUGACUGCUCUCUCCUUUCGCUCUGCAGUAAAACCAGUCACAGGAGAAGGAGAGACAUGUGGAUGUAUGGGUGGGUGUGGUCAGUGGUAUGGGGACGAGAGGGUGUAGGCCAGAGUCAAGUCACAAGGCCAGGAAGCCAAGCCUCGUCUGUGGCUAAGCAACUGUGUGCACUUGACCAGACCACUUGGGCUAAACCUCCCUGUCAAGCCUGGCUUGGUGAAAUCAUAAUAAAUUAUCUAGCCCCUGGUGGGGCAUAAACCCAAUACUCAGUAAGUGUUAAUUUUCUUUCGUAUACCUGCAGAUCACAAUGAAAACCCUUCAUCUCUUGUAAUCUAAAAGACUAACUGUAAACAAGAAUAAAUAAUGAAAUCAUUUGAAGGACAUCCUUCAUGAGAAAAAAGGCAUCCCUGUGCUCACCAUGCUUUGAGUGCAUAGAUUUACACGCCAAGAAAGAGUAACAGAAAUCGCGUUUCCAACCUCCUUUGUCAUAGGGGUGGUAAAAUUCAAGUCCAGAGAUGGAAAGUGACUUUCUCCGGAACACACAGCCAGUUAAUGGCUGAAUCAGGACAAAAUCCCAGUAAUCAGCCGCCCAACUAAUUCCCCAUUCUACUGUAUCCUUCUAGAUCCACAGGACUGUCAGUUAUAAAUGACGCUUAAUGGCACCAAUGCCUCUGUGGCCAUUAAAAACGUCUCUCACCUUCAAAUUAGAGUGAAGAUGGAAAAUUGUAAGUUCCUCCCACACAAUGGGCACUGAAUGCGGGACAGAAGCGUUGAGGAAGAGAUGGGCGGUUGGGGGAGAAGAGGAGUGAGCACAGAAGAAGGGAUCGGGAGUGAAGAGGGACACAGAGGCCCCCUACUUUGCAACUGUGCCUAAACGGAAGCCCCCCUUCAGCCCAAAAGCUGAAUCUGAAAAUGCCCCCAGACGGAUUUCUCCUUCCCUCUGUCUAGAAGCCUCUUAGAGGAGACAAAAGACACCGCUCUCCCAGAUUAGACAAAACCUAUGAAUGCUCAGGCGGAAAGGGAAACGAGACUGUUUACCUGCAAUAGUUUAAAAGACAGGUUCGGUUGGAGUUUUCUUAAAUCCCUUCAACCUUAGGUUUUGGCAGAAGCACUCCCAGACCGCAGGUUUCGGGGGAUCCCAAGCCUGCUCGUUUAUCCGCCAGACGUGAGCCUUCACAGAACCAGUACCCGGGCUGCUCUGGGACAGCAAGCAUCCAGUUAAGGAAGAGGGGCGAAAAAUCUAAUUCUAACCUAGCAAACUCGACAGCAUCAUUUUAAAAAAGAUUCCCAUCUCAAAGAAAGUCUACAAGCAACGAGUGAGGCUACAAGGCCAUGAUUAUGUCCCGGCAUCGUAAUAAUUGCGGAAGAAUUGUCCAAUUAGCAAUCCCACACUUAGGGAGUUCCAUCGUGUUGUGGCCUGUCUUCAUCUGUUUUGAGGGAAAAUUCUGCCUUCGGGAGUCCGAAAUAAUGACAGAACUCUUCACUAUGUCUGUGAGUUUGGAUGGAGUCCUCAGGGUACACGGCAACCUUGCCUGGUAAUGAAGCAGAGAAAUCACCUGUUCCUGCUAAAACCUGCUCACACCCUCCACAGCCAGGAGAGGCCCUGGCUGAUGUCCCGGAGGAAAGGACAACCUCUGGAAGGUGACAGAACCAGGAGCAUCUGGGGUUAGGAUCCUCAGUCCUUCUUGAGCCAAACUCUUACCUACAGGCCUCGUAAAAAAAAAAAAAAAAGGGUCUAGAAAACAUAGAAACAUCAUCUAAGGUUCUGUAAAAUUCUGUUUCACAAGUAUUUAUGCGAUGCCCAGUUCACAUGGGUCUUGGACACCUGGAAACCGAACUUCGAAGCCUUCCUCCUCAACCAACCAGCAACAGUCUUCUUCCCCCUGCCCUUCAAACCUCUGUUGGUUGCCGCUUGAACAGCUGGGAAAAUGCCGCUUCCUCCAACGCGGCUCUGCCCAACCGUAAAGGGUGCGUUAGCCUCAAAAGGCAGAGAACGGCCCCACCGAAGGAGAAGCUUCUAGCAAGCAGAAGUGACUUGGGGACGCUGCGUGAGGCAGAGUUGUGGCCCCGGCAAGAGGACGUGUGGGGGCUGCCGGGACACUGCAGACAAGGGAGGGGGAAGGGACUGGACAAGAACGUUUCUAAAGUCAUUGCCAACGCACCGUAGUGGCCUGAGAGGCUUUAAAAUCCAGCGUCAGGUUCUCAAUGUUUAUAGAAGCUAUGAGAAUUUUCAA